rnacentral:rRNA from 1 species
GAUGAACGCUGGCGGCGUGCCUAAUACAUGCAAGUCGAGCGAACAGACGAGGAGCUUGCUCCUCUGACGUUAGCGGCGGACGGGUGAGUAACACGUGGAUAACCUACCUAUAAGACUGGGAUAACUUCGGGAAACCGGAGCUAAUACCGGAUAAUAUAUUGAACCGCAUGGUUCAAUAGUGAAAGACGGUUUUGCUGUCACUUAUAGAUGGAUCCGCGCCGCAUUAGCUAGUUGGUAAGGUAACGGCUUACCAAGGCGACGAUGCGUAGCCGAACUGAGAGGGUGAUCGGCCACACUGGAACUGAGACACGGUCCAGACUCCUACGGGAGGCAGCAGUAGGGAAUCUUCCGCAAUGGGCGAAAGCCUGACGGAGCAACGCCGCGUGAGUGAUGAAGGUCUUCGGAUCGUAAAACUCUGUUAUUAGGGAAGAACAAAUGUGUAAGUAACUAUGCACGUCUUGACGGUACCUAAUCAGAAAGCCACGGCUAACUACGUGCCAGCCGCCGCCGUAA